CCACGGGAGCACGCCCCCGCCGCGGGAGCUGUCCCGCCGCGGGUCGUCGCCUCCCCAGCCACCGGAGCCGCCCCGCCGCGCCCGUGGAACUGCAGUACUUCUUCCCCGUCUUCCACUUGGGCUCUAACUACGGCCUCCGCUUUGUGCACUCGGACGCAAUCGCAGCCCCACCAUUGCUAGCCUCGCCUCCCACCAGGUAAACGGCCCUGCUUCAUCAAGCUCUGACCCUGCUUCUUCUCCUAACUCCGGUCUCUUUCUUCUCCAUAUUCCAAUCUGUUCUAAUAGUACAUCAAUCCAAGCAACUAUUUUCAGAUCAAUUAAGGAAUCAAUCUUACGAUGGCUGAUGCUCAAUGCAGUGGAGCAUUACAGGUGUAUUGUCGGUAGUUUCAAUUUAAUCGGGUGGUCGUCAUCACCGUGAGGCCGCCGAUGUUUUUGUAACCCCCUAAUUUUGAUGUUUUAAAGUCAGAGUUAGUGAAGUUUGGUUGCUUAUAGCUAGACGAGUGAGCUUAAAAGUAGACUUAUUGUUGUGGUUGUACAAAAGUUUUUGUUUCUGUUCUUGUUGUCUAUGCCCUUUACACAUUGACUGAUGUUUGUUUCUGCCAUCUGAAAAAGCCUUUUCUACCACAGUGUUAUCCCUCGGCGUCAUUCUCAACAAGCACCAGGACAUGGCUUUUUUUCUGCCAAAGCAUACAGAAGGAGGAGAGAGCAGCAGCGAGAGAGGAGAAGUUAAGAACAAGACACAUGCUUUUGAUGAUUAACUCCUAUUUCUGAACCAAUAUGCUUUUGAUGAUUGAAUUAGAUUAAAAAGGUAUACAUUUCUUCAGAUUAACAGAUUCAAAUAGUAUGAUUUCGGAAUGCAAAUAAUUCUUCCAUAUGUUUGACUACAAUGUGUUGUCGUGCAAAUAUGCAGAAGGAUGACCUUGGUUUUGGGGACUUGGUUUUGUGAAUCGGUGUGUUAUAUUGACCAAAUAUCUUAGUAUUUGUACAAUGCGGCAAUAUGGAUAGACUUGUCGCUGCUUUUACUGGAUUGAUAUAUCAUAUUGUAUGUAUAAUUAUUCAAUACAUAUAUACUUGCAACAACUUCUAAUCGUAAUUUCUUCUCCACCUACAAAGAUAUAUAGAAUCAUCUUACAUAUUUUCAUGUUGAUACCUAAUUUUCAUGUCCAUACUGUUGGGGCGAGCUAAAACUACAAGGCCUCACAGUGCAUAGGGGCAUACAAUAAAGUUUUCAGGUUGACCUUUCCAACAAGUAUUAACAUAAUCAGUGGCAGGGCGCCCACGAUCAUCCGUGAUUUGCAUUCAAGUGAGAUAAGAAUCGGGAGAGGAAGGAAAGAGAGGAGGAAGCAUAAUCUUGGGAGUAAGGAAGAUGCUGACAGCUUCUGCAUCCACAAAGUCCAUGUUCAGAAAAGGCAAAAACUAAUCCUUGAGCAAGCUUACUCCUGCAAAUGUUGACCAUCAAACAAUCCUCUUCAUGCCCUGUUGAAAAUAAUUUCUCCACCCAAUGGCAUCUAUCGAGAGCAGGUUGGGCGGCAGCUUGGCAGCCGGAGCAGGCUUCUAUACCUCGGCGUUCUAGGCCGCCGCGGCCAGGAGCUGCGUCGGGCAGGCUGGCGUCGUCGCUGAGGUUGGACACCGGCGGCAGUGUCGAUACAGG